UGGGGAAUAUUGGACAAUGGGGGCAACCCUGACGCAGCGACGCCGCGUGUGGGAUGAAGGUCUUCGGAUUGUAAACCACUGUCGCGAGGGACGAAGCUCUGACGGUACCUCGAAAGGAAGCACCGGCUAACUCUGUGCCAGCAGCCGCGGUAAUACAGAGGGUGCGAGCGUUGUCCGGAAUCACUGGGCGUAAAGGGCGCGUAGGCGGCCCGGUAAGUAGGGGGUGAAAUCUCAUGGCUCAACUGUGAGGCUGCCUUCUAGACUGCCAGGCUUGAGCACAGUAGAGGCGAGUGGAAUUCCCGGUGUAGCGGUGGAAUGCGUAGAGAUCGGGAAGAACAUCGGUGGCGAAGGCGGCUCGCCGGGCUGUUGCUGACGCUGAGGCGCGAAAGCGUGGGGAGCAAACAGGAUUAGAUACCCCCGUAGUCCCUGAGCGGGCUGGCAAGGCGCAU
rnacentral:rRNA from 1 species